CUAAGAGCUGUAACACGGUUUGUCCAAGACCCGAGAGCUGUGAUGUGCCGAGGGCUUUAAUGUCCGUUGCUCCAAAUCUUUAUUGUGAUGAGACAAAGAACUGAGGAACAUACACUCGCGUGACAUCUAUGGCAUUGCCCAAAUGGACUCCAUUCUGUGCAAUCUCUUUGUGCAUUUUUCAAUAUGCAUCUGUUUAUCUUUUAACAGUUCUGGUGUCCAAAAAGGGAACCAAAGAAGACCCCCAAUGGCCCACAAAGCAAUGAGCAACCAGGCAUAGGACUGCAUGAGACCCUUGAUUUCACUGUCUCUGGAAAUGAUUGCAAAGUGAAUCAGAAGUGUGACUAUUUUCAUCUUACUCUGGAAGGCUAAAGACCACAUGGCUAUAAUUUACCCACUAAACCCACGAUCACAACAACUAGAAGUCUAUUGAUACUCAGCACAGUUUUGGCUCAUGUUUUUCUUUCACUGAGGCAAAAAAUAAAGAAAUAUGGACAACAAA